CAGGAAUAAUAAGUGUGAAGUUUGAUUUUCUCCCUUCUGUAAUAAGCAGCCAAUGAGUUUUUUGCGACCCGGAAACAACUUUGAAGACGACGACCACAAAAUGGUGGAGACUCAUUGACCGUGUGCGAGAGCAUCAAAACGACUGCAGGUGACUGCCGACUGACUCAUCGACAAAAUCACAUUUCAUCAUAAAUAACGACUCAUUAAUAUUUGUAGGUCAGUCACAGUUUACCCAUAAUACGGGUUUGAUCCUCUUGAACACGGACAAUGUCUUACGUCAGAAAGCACGAGGAGCGUCACUCUUCUUGAAGUGAGACAAUAUGCACCCGAUGUAUCAAAAACAACUGGGAACUCGGAAAAAUACUAUUUCCGACUUCAGUGCAUUCACGACAACUGAGAACUCGGGAAAAAACGAGCUCCAACCUGAAAAAAAUCACUUUGAACCGUAAUCCCACUCGGAAUUCCAUGUCGGCAACCCAGGCCUCUUUCUAGAGCUCAGACUUUGAGACCUGAAGAUCACUGACGUCGAAUUUCCCAGAUGUAAUGAAAGCACAAAAAUGUACAGUACAUUAUGGGUUUGAACCUCUCGACACGUGCUUACAUGGACCUGUGUGUCAAGAUUUGGAUUGUAUGACUUAAUUUGCCUUUGACGUUUUAUUUUGAUUGUAUGACAAAAACAUUUUUGAAAAAAGGGCAUUUUACGUUAUACAAUCAAAAUGUAACUCUUGAGAUCAUAAACAGUCCCCAGCUCAGGCCUUUACCUUACGACCUCGGCACUCCAGUCAAGCCCCAUGGGGGAAAGAUGAGGCCAAGAGGGUGUCACUUCUUGAGAUGCAAAACAAUAUUUUAGUGCUUUUGACAGCAAAGAUAGAUGAAAGGGCAAAUGGCUUGGAGGUCAUGGUUAGGGAGAAUACAAUGAAAAUUGAGGACAUUAAAAGUGGAAGUUAUCUGCCAGGAAAAUGAAAAGGUGGCUGAACUCGAGCAAAAGGUGAAUGAGGCGGAGAGACACCAGCGCAGGUGGAACCUGAGGCUCCAUGGAAAUCCAGAGCAGGCGGGUGAGGACAUCAAAUGCAGAGUUGUUGACAUCUGUGGAGCUGUCAUUCCCAAAUCAAAAGCCAAACUUCAGGAAAAUGUAGACAGCGUCCAUCGUUUGGGAAGACUUAAGGAUCAAGACAAGAGACAGAGGACAACCGUCAUCUGGUUCACCAACAGAUCUACACGGGAUCUUCUUUGGAGGCGAGCGAAGAAUUGAGAAUUCCUCAUCAAGCAAAAAAUUUAGGUUCACGGAGGAUCUGACCUCAGCAGACAAAGUGACAAGAGAGAAACUGUGGUCGAUGGUGGCUGCAGCUCGAAAGGCAGGGAAAACUGCCUUUUUAAAAAUGUAUUUUUUAUUUUUUUAAAUCGGUGCAAGAGUGAUCAUCGAUGGGAAAGAAAUGUGGCCAAAUCAGAACAUUUGAGUGAGAGCCAGAGUCUAACUCGGACAGAACGGUCAGGCCAAGAAAAACGAUUACCAGGUGAAAAGCAGCCUUUUAUUAUAAAAAUGUACACAAACAUUUGAAUGAGAAAAGGCUGACCUGAGAACUGGUAAGCUAAACACUAACUAUAGGUGAAUAACUGCUUAUUGUAAAGUCUACGCAAUGUCUCCCCCUUGUGGGAUUUUUUAAUUUUUAUUUCACCUUUAUUUAACCAGGUAGGCUAGUUGAGAACAAGUUCUCAUUUGCAACUGCGACCUGGCCAAGUAAGAAUACUUUGGUAACUUUAUGACCAUUUUUGUUGUUUUUUGUUGUUGGAGAGGUUAAUAAUGGGAUGGAAAUCCUUUUGAGUUACAUAUCCGUAGGAAAAACUUAUAUUAGCAUAACAAGGUUGUUGGUUGAAGUUUGUUUUUAUCUCUUUGUUCAAUUCAUGUCAGGGGUAUUCAUAAUUUACUCAAGCGUUAAGGCUAUUUUCUUGUAUUGCAAACAGUUUAAUCCAGACUUUUAUUUACAAGAGACUCAUGCUUGUUCUUCCGAUCUUUCUUUUUGGAAAAAAAUCAAUGGGGUAAUGAUAUCUGGUUAUCAUAUGGCAACAACCACUUUGCAGGUGUAGCAGUUUUAAGAGGUGCAUUUAAAGGGAAGGUCAUCAGUAGUAAGACUCACCACUCUGGACUUUGGUUAAUUUUAACAGUACAUUUCAACAGUGAAAUCUUUUUAUUAGGGAAUAUUUAUGCAUCCAACAACAAACAAAACAGGAUAUUAUUUCAAGAAUUUGAAGAAAUUAAUAGAGUUAUAGGUGUAUUUCAGGAUAUCAAAAUUAUCUUAGGUGGAGAUUUUAAUUCUGUAUCUAAUGUGAUGAUUGACAGAUAUCCCCCUCCUAACGGAUCCAGCAUAGUCAAUCCUGAGUUUAAUAACCUAUGUCUUGGAUUAGUAGAUAUUUGGACAUCUAAAUAUCCUGAUUAAAAGGAAUUCACUUGGAGUAACAAGGACAUGUCUAGACAGUCAAGAAUUGACUUCUGGUUGAUUUCUAAUUCAUUAGAUAAUUCUGUAGUCAAGGUAUCAAUUGAACCAUCAAUUCUUACUGAUCAUGAAGUUAUAUUCUUAUCUUUAAAUAUGAAUGGAUCUGAAGUUAAACCGAAUCGCAGUUAUUGGAAACUCAAUAGUAGACUGUUGGAAGACAAUUGGAGGAAAGCCCAACUAUUUAAGUCUUAUGGGGAAUGAAUGAAUUAUGAAAGAAGACAAACAGCCACGAAGAGAGGUAAAGAAAUUGCUGAACUUAAAAGAUUGAGGGAAGAUAAACUUGUUUCGGAAAUAUUUUCUCUAAUCUCUAUGGAGGACCUUUAUGAAGAAGGAAAGGGUCUGUUAUUCUCUUUACAACUAGAAAUGGACCAAAUGUAUGAAGAGAAGGCAAAAGCGGCAUUUGUAAGAUCAAGAAGGAGAUGGUUGGAGGAAGGUGAAAAACAUACAAAAUGCUUUUACAAUUUAGAAAGAAAGAAUUCUGAAUCUAUUCAUAAGCUCAAUAUAGAUGGCAAAGAAAAUGAAAACCCCAAAAGAUAUUUCAAAAUUUGUUUCAGAAUUCUAUGGUGACCUUUAUACCAGUAAUGCCUGUCCUACUAGUGACAUAUGACUUUCUAGACUCUGUCAAAGACUGCAAAAUUCAUAGAUGAAGACUUCCAAAAGUCUUGUGAUGAAAUUAUUUCUAUUAAUGAAAUAAAACAAUGUAUCAGCAAGUUAAGAGAACAAAUCUCCAGGGAAUGAUGGCAUUAUCAGUGAAUUCUAUAAGUAUUUUCAGGAGGAUAUUAUUGAAUUUAUAUUUAAUGUUUUUAAGGAGGCAAUUGAUUUAGGGGUCCUGCCUGUUUCUAUGACACAGGGCCUAAUUUCUGUAAUACCCAAACCAAACAAAGAUUCUAUGAUGUUAUAGAAAAUUGGAGACCGAUCACAUGAAUGAACAAUGAUGAAAAGAUACUUGCAUCCAUCUUUGCAGAAAGACUUAAAGAAGGUCUUGACCAAAUCAUUGACGAUACCCAGUUUGGUUUUAUGAAGGGCAGACAUAUGUAAUAAUAUUCGACUAGUAUUGGACUUGAUAGACUACAAUGAGCACAUUAUGGAAGAUGUCUACAAAUAAAAUAAAGCUUUUUACAAGGCA